rnacentral:piRNA from 1 species
UAAUAGCCAACCUAUGAUUGAUGUAACCCU